GAAUAGGGGAGCCGGAGGGAAACCGAGUCUUAAUUGGGCGUUAAGUUGCAGGGUAUAGACCCGAAACCCGGUGAUCUAGCCAUGGGCAGGUUGAAGGUUGGGUAACACUAACUGGAGGACCGAACCGACUAAUGUUGAAAAAUUAGCGGAUGACCUGUGGCUGGGGGUGAAAGGCCAAUCAAACCGGGAGAUAGCUGGUUCUCCCCGAAAGCUAUUUAGGUAGCGCCUCGUGAAUUCAUCUCCGGGGGUAGAGCACUGUUUCGGCUAGGGGGCCAUCCCGGCUUACCAACCCGAUGCAAACUGCGAAUACCGGAGAAUGUUAUCACGGGAGACACACGGCGGGUGCUAACGUCCGUCGUGAAGAGGGAAACAACCCAGACCGCCAGCUAAGGUCCCAAAGUCAUGGUUAAGUGGGAAACGAUGUGGGAAGGCCCAGACAGCCAGGAUGUUGGCUUAGAAGCAGCCAUCAUUUAAAGAAAGCGUAAUAGCUCACUGGUCGAGUCGGCCUGCGCGGAAGAUGUAACGGGGCUAAACCAU
rnacentral:rRNA from 2 species